GACGAACGCUGGCGGCGUGCCUAAUACAUGCAAGUAGAACGCAGUUUCGAACGGGUGAGUAACGCGUAUGUAACUGCCUCAUUGCGGGGGAUAACCAUUGGAAACGAUAGCUAAUACCGCAUACUGUGGGAUGGACCUGAGUUGUAUUAGCUAGUUGGUGAGGUGAAGGCUCACCAAGGCGACGAUCCCUAGCCGGCCUGAGAGGGUGAUCGGCCAAACUGGGACUGAGGAACGGGCCAGAAUCCUAAGGGAGGGAGCAGUAGGGAAUCUUCGGCAAUGGACGGAAGUCUUACCGAGCAAAGCCGCGGGAGUGAAGAAGGUUUUCGGAGCGUAAAGCUAUGUUGUUAGGGAAGCGGUACCUAACCAGAAAGGGACGGCUAACUACGUGCCAGCAGCCGCGGUAAUAC
rnacentral:rRNA from 1 species